GCUGCACUCGAAGAGUUUCUGUGUGGUAC
rnacentral:piRNA from 1 species